rnacentral:rRNA from 1 species
AUGGAACUCCGAUAUGCCGUGCUGGCCGCUGCCGCCGCCAUCCGCCCCAAUGCCUCGGAUGCCUUCUGCUGCCGCAGCCACUACCACCACGACCUCCCCUCCGCCGCCCCUUUCCCGUCUCCUUCGCCCCCUCCCAAUCUCAUCAUUGUCAUCUCCUCCGACCCCCCUCCCGCAUCUGCUCAGACGCCGACAGCUGCAAGUGCACCGCGAGCUACGCGUUGCUUAUACUCGCCGGCGGCAGCGCCACAUGCUACACAUUCUUCUCCAUCGACGCGCUCCACAGCCGCCCCCUUCAGGAGGCACGAAGAGAUUGGCUAUAGACCACACAAGAGAACAGGAGCCAGGGAAAGGCAGAAAACUAUCAGCAGUACUGUUUGUUUAUUUCAAUGUUGA